GCUUGUAUAAAAGUGUAAAUUUGCUGUCCCCUCAAAAUAACUCAACACAGCCAUUAAAGUCUAAACCUCUGGCAACAAAAGUGAGUACGCCCCAAAGUGAAAAUGUCCAAAUUGGGCCCAAUUAGCCAUUUUCCCUCCCCGGUGUCAUGUGACUCGUUAGUGUUACAAGGUCUCAGGUGUGAAUGGGGACCAGGUGUGUUAAAUUUGGUGUUAUCGCUUACACACUCUCUCAUACUGGUCACUGGAAUUUCAACAUGGCAUCUCAUGGCAAAGAACUCUCUGAGGAUCUGAAACAAAAAAUUGUUGCUCUACAUUUAAAUGGCCUAGGCUAUAAGAAGAUUGCCAAGACCCUGAAACUGAGCUGCAGCACGGUGGCCAAGACCAUACAGCGGUUUAACAGGACAGGUUCCACUCAGAACAGGCCUCGCCAUGGUCGACCAAAUAAGUUGAAUGCACAUGCUCAGCUUCAUAUCCAGAGGUUGUCUUUGGGAAAUAGACGUAUGAGUGCUGCCAGCAUUGCUGCAGAGGUUGAAGGGGUGGGGGGUCAGCCUGUCAGUGCUCAGACCAUACACCGCAUCACUGCAUCAAAUUGGUCUGCAUGACUGUCGUCCCAGAAGGAAGCCUCUUCUAAAGAUGAUGCACAAGAAAGCCCGCAAACAGUUUGCUGAAGACAAGCAGACUAAGGACAUGGAUUACUGGAACCAUGUCCCUUUGUCUGAUGAGACCAAGAUAAACAUAUUUGGCUCAGAUGGUGUCAAGCUUGUGUGGCGGCAACCAGGUGAGGAGUACAAAGACAAGUGUGUCUUGCCUACAGUCAAGCAUGGUGGUGGGUGUGUCAUGGUCUGGGGCUGCAAGAGUGCUGUCAGCACUGGGGAGCUACAGUUGAGGGAACCAUGAAUGCCAACAUGUACUGUGACAUACUGAAGCAGAGCAUGAUCCCCUCCCUGGGGCCAAGACUGGGCCAAGGGGCAGUAUUCCAACAUGAUAACGACCCCAAACACACCUCCAAGACGACCACUGCUUUGCUAAAGAAGCUGAGGGUAAAGGUGAUGGACUGGCCAAGCACGUCUCCAGACCUAAACCCUAUUGAGCAUCUGUGGGGCAUCCUCAAACGGAAGGUGGAGGAGCGGAAGGUCUCUAACAUCC
ensembl:lncRNA